ensembl:lncRNA
AACAUUUUUUCAUAAAUUUUGUGCGGGUACAGUUUAUAAAUUUAUUUUAUUUGAACUCAAAAACAGUUAAUGCUGGUGUACCAGGCCAAUUAUGGUUGUUAAUAUUGUUCAAUAAAAAAAAAUUAAAAAAUUAAAAAAAACUCAAAAACAAUGACUGCUGGCGCUUUUAGUGUAAUCCAGUAACCUCAUUGGUUGUUUUUAAAAUGGGCGUGGGUUUGACGUGAGAGGAAUAAAAGGCGCCGAGACCCUCCUUUCGUCCAUUUUGUUGCAGCUUCUCUUCUGGUAAGGUGUUCCGCUAUGUUUUCAUUACAUGUACUGUAGUUGUUCUGUGUUUUAUUUCGCUUUCUUCUACAAAGGGGACCUACGUUAUAUACAUAUAUCCCCUUUUUCUUUCUUAGUAUGCAUUUUAAGGUUUAUUUGAGGUCACAGGCCUUUAGUAAACACACCUCUGCGUGUUUCUGUUCCUGUGGCCCACGAGCCCCUGAUGUGUAUCUGAAACCAUCAUGGCUUACCUUUUGCGAAUAUUUGAAACUUCACCAUUAUUAUCAAAGCUGACUUGUUACUACGAUAGAAUUAAGUCAUAUUUACUACUGGUUUGGUUUUUUUUUUUUUUUUAAUGCUUUGGCGAGAUCUCUCAAUGAUGAUAACUCACAGACCUGUACUGAAAUACUGUGAUUGCACUUUAUUUAUCUGAGGAGAGACCGACGUGAAUUUAUUACAUUUUUUUACGAUAAGAGUGUUCUGGAAGCUUCAGAUGCAAACACGUGUUUUAACUAGAGGUUUUUCUUUUGCAGCAAUGGCGACUGCGACGAGCAUGGCCUCAUGGGAAGUUUCCAUGCAGGCUGCUGGGAUGAGCAGGCGGAAAUCUAUUAAAUUUAAGGGCUCCUUCACGUGAUCUUGGAGGGCAUGGUGACCAUAGAUGUUGUAUUGAUCAUCCCACUUUGUCUUGGUGAUGAUGGUGUGGCUAUAAAGAUGUUCAUGUAGUGUUGGAACAAAAUGGCUUUUUCAGCAAGAACCUGCAACUCCCUAAGGACUGUUAUUUGUCCAAAACAAAGUGGGUCAAGUCCUUUGCUGGUAUUAGGUUGCAUACCUGAAAUACUCCGCAGGUGGCACAUCUGAGAUGAGACAUUCACAGGACUACAGUGGAUUCUUGAAGUCCUUCCCCCUUGAGCAUACUAUAACAGACUGCAGUGAAUUUUCCCUCAGAGUUCUUUACCCCUUGAGCGUACUGAAGCUGGUGUUGCUACUGUCCAUCCAGGUUGUCCCAGUGUCACUUGAUUGCUGGUGUUCUGUUGACUUUUAAAGGUUUGUAUUUUGUAUCAGCUUUUGAAAGUUUAGUUUUACUUUUUAAUGAUGACAUUUAUCGCCCCAGUCUGAUGUGUUAUGACUGAUUGAUGAUUCUGAUAAAUCUAGAAAUAUUUAAAGGUGCUGAUUUAAGAGACUUUUACUGACACUCUUUAUCUCCCCCAGGUCACGUAAACUGCAUCAGAAGUUGAACUGGCUGACACACUGAUCUGUGUCCUUGUACAUCUGCUUAACUGGAGUGUUGGCUGAAUGGUGUUAUUGACUGACGAUAUAAAUGGAAUGUGUUUCCUUUGUAUUCUUUAUUCAAAAGCUGCUUGCAAAAUAAAUGGCUUUACUGAAUUUGCGGUUUCAAUUCCUGUUUUGUGUCCCUGAGUCUUCAACCUUUUGCAUUCGUUUGUAUCAGAACUUAAUUUCUCUAAAUGGAAAAGUGACACUUUGCAGUAAACUUUAGCUUGUAAUGCUUGAGACAUCAUGAACCAACAAAUAGCAUUUAAUUGUAGAAUGUUUGCUCAAACUUAUACAACUUGACUAUUCACAGCACUUAAUAUAAAAGUAGUGUUCAAUGUUAGGUUAAUGUGUUAAGGUAAGAUUUGAACUAAAGCAAAAAGUACUUAACAAAACGAGCUGAGGUCCAAAAAAUACCCCUUAA